GACGAACGCUGGCGGCGUGCUUAACACAUGCAAGUCGAACGGUAAGGCCCUUCGGGGUACACGAGUGGCGAACGGGUGAGUAACACGUGGGUGAUCUGCCCUGCACUUCGGGAUAAGCCUGGGGAACUGGGUCUAAUACCGGAUAGGACCACUGCCUGCAUGGGUGGUGGUGGAAAGCUUUUGCGGGGUGGGAUGGGCCCGCGGCCUAUCAGCUUGUGGGUGGGGGGAUGGCCUACCAAGGCGACGACGGGUAGCCGGCCUGAGAGGGUGACCGGCCGCACUGGGGCUGUGAUACGGCGGAGACUCCUAGGGGAGGCAGCAGUGGGGAAUAUUGCACAAUGGGCGCAAGCCUGAUGCAGCGACGCCGCGGGAGGGAUGACGGACUUCGGGUUGUAAACCUCUUUCAGCACCGACGAAGCGCAAGUGACGGUAGGUGCAGAAGAAGGACCGGCCAACUACUUGCCAGCCGCCGCCGUAA
rnacentral:rRNA from 1 species